GACGAACGCUGGCGGCGUGCUUAACACAUGCAAGUCGAACGGAAAGGCCCUGCUUUUGUGGGGUGCUCGAGUGGCGAACGGGUGAGUAACACGUGAGUAACCUGCCCUUGACUUUGGGAUAACUUCAGGAAGCUGGGGCUAAUACCGGAUAGGAGCUCCUGCUGCAUGGUGGGGGUUGGAAAGUUUCGGCGGUUGGGGAUGGACUCGCGGCUUAUCAGCUUGUUGGUGGGGUAGUGGCUUACCAAGGCUUUGACGGGUAGCCGGCCUGAGAGGGUGACCGGCCACAUAGGGACUGAGAUACGGCCCAGACUCCUACGGGAGGAAGCGGUGGGGAAUAUUGCACAAUGGGCGGAAGCCUGAUGCAGCAACGCCGCGUGCGGGAUGACGGCCUUUGGGUUGUAAACCGCUUUCGCCUGUGACGAAGCGUGAGUGACGGUAAUGGGUAAAGAAGCACCGGCUAACUACGUG
rnacentral:rRNA from 1 species